rnacentral:rRNA from 1 species
UACGUAGGGGGCAAGCGUUGUCCGGAAUUAUUGGGCGUAAAGAGCGCGUAGGCGGUCCGGUAAGUCGGUUGUGAAAGCCGGGGGCUCAACCCUCGGAUGCCGAUCGAUACUGUCGGGCUAGAGUACGGAAGAGGCGAGUGGAAUUCCUGGUGUAGCGGUGAAAUGCGCAGAUAUCAGGAAGAACACCUAUGGCGAAGGCAGCACUCUGGGACGGUACUGACGCUGAGACGCGAAAGCGUGGGGAGCGAACAGG